rnacentral:rRNA from 1 species
AUUGAACGCUGGCGGCAGGCUUAACACAUGCAAGUCGAACGAGUGGCGGACGGGUGAGCAAUGCUUGGGAAUCUAUCCUAUGGAGGGGGAUAACUAUGGGAAACUGUAGCGAACACCGCGUACCCUAGGAUGAGCACAAGUGGGAUUAGGUAGUGGGUGAGGUAAAGGCACACCAAGCCGAUGAGCUCUAGCUGGUCUGAGAGGAUGACCAGCCACACUGGGACUGAGACACGGCCCAGACUCAUACGUGAGGCAGCAGUGGGGAAUAUUGCGCAAUGGGGGCAACCUGACACAGCCAUGCCGCGUGUGUGAAGAAGGCCUUCGGGUUGUAAAGUUCUUUCGGUAGCGAGGCGUUAACUACAGAAGAAGCACCGGCUAACGCCGUGCCAGCCGCCGCGGUAAUUC